rnacentral:rRNA from 1 species
UACAGAGGUCUCAAGCGUUGUUCGGAUUCAUUGGGCGUAAAGGGUGUGUAGGUGGCGCCGUAAGUCGGGUGUGAAAGCCCGAGGCUCAACCUCGGAACUGCCUUCGAUACUGCGGGUCUCGAGUCCGGGAGAGGUGAGUGGAAUUCCUAGUGUAGAGGUGAAAUUCGUAGAUAUUAGGAAGAACACCAGUGGCGAAGGCGGCUCACUGGCCCGGUACUGACGCUGAGGCGCGAAAGCGUGGGGAGCAAACAGG